GAACCGUACAAACGUUAUUCGGAAUCACUGGGCUUAAAGGGUGCGUAGGCGGCGUGGCAAGCUGGGUGUGAAAUCCCCCGGCUCAACCGGGGAACUGCGCCCAAAACUGCCAUGCUAGAGGGAGACAGGGGUGAGCGGAACUUAGGGUGGAGCGGUGAAAUGCGUUGAUAUCCUAAGGAACACCGGUGGCGAAGGCGGCUCACUGGGUCUCUUCUGACGCUGAGGCACGAAAGCUAGGGGAGCGAACGGGAUUAGAUACCCCGGGUAGUCCUAGCUGUAAACGAUGAGCACUUGGUUGGAGACUCCCUCCCAUAGGUUUCCGGCCGUAGCGAAAGUGUUAAGUGCUCCGCCUGGGGAGUAUGUCCGCAAGGAUG
rnacentral:rRNA from 1 species